GAUGAAGAACGUAGCGAAAUGCGAUAAGUAAUGUGAAUUGCAGAAUUCAGUGAAUCAUCGAAUCUUUGAACGCACAUUGCGCCCCCUGGUAUUCCGGGGGGCAUGCCUGUCCGAGCGUCAUUACAACCCUCAAGCUCAGCUUGGUGUUGGGCCCCGCCGCCCCGGCGGGCCCUAAAGUCAGUGGCGGUGCCGUCCGGCUCCGAGCGUAGUAAUUCUUCUCGCUAUGGAGUCCUGGUGGAUGCUUGCCAUCAACCCCCAAUUUUUCUAUGGUUGACCUCGGAUCAGGUAGGGAUACCCGCUGAACUUAAGCAUAUCAAUGAGCGGAGGA
rnacentral:misc_RNA from 1 species